CCCCAAGCUGAAUUUUGACGUAAUUUCUCUUGAUGUAGCUAGCAGGUGGCAGAGGUGUAUUUGAAAGUCGGCAGUACCCUGACAGCGAUUAGGAUGUCAUCCAUCUGCUAGUCUUCUUGAUCCUUGAAUUCUGUGGAGCUCAAAUAGACAACAAAGCUUUGUGGAACUGAUUAGGUGUUAGCAUAAAUAUCUAGCCUUUAUCAUGUUGAGCUUCCUUAAUAAGUGUUACUCUAUAUUUUUAUAUUUUCAUUUUAUAGAACAGAAAAAAUAUUUAUUUUAUUUUUAUGCCACCACAGUGAAUGUACUUAUGGGGUUUUAUGCCACUCAUAUACUCACAUGGGGCUUACUAUUUUUUAACAUUUUUAUUUUCUUUUUAGGAUAAUAUGAACAUGAUUAACUAAGUAAACUAUUUGAAAUAAUUGAAAGGAAAAGGAUAACUACCAAGUUUACCUCUUGGCAAAGCGUUCAGCAUUUUUAAGUCCUCCGAACGGGACUCUCCGUUUUCUCAGUUGUCUUGGGAUUCGUUGGAUGGCGUAGUCGGUGCUUCCGGCAGCGUCUCCUCUUCGUGUAUAGUUAUCUUCUCUCUCCACACCUGACUCGGUGCUACGAUCUCCUCAAGAUAAUUCUGUUCAAGUUGUAUGUCUUCAGACCUUACCACUUCUCCUUCGUAGUCUGCCCAUCCGUCCUUGAUGAUUUUCCUCUUCUGGUUGCGGUUGUGUCGUCUUCUUCUUGUCCUGACCUGUUUAGAGUCUUCAACUAUAUAAUUAGGGUUAGUAAAAUAGCGGCGUACCUUCUCUAAGGGGAAGUGCAUGUAGACUUCUCCAGUUCAAAUGUAGAUGAUUGCUUUAACCGUGCUGAGGAACGGUCUCCCAAGGAUGAUGGGUGGAUCGUAUUCGUGUUCUCCCAUGUCAAUAACCUGAAAGUCUGUAUGGACAAAAUGAUCGUCUAUUUUGACUGGGACAUCAGUUACUAUACCUUCAACCUUUCAGAAUGUCUGAUCUACCAUCUGGAGCUGAAUAUAUGUUGGCUUUAAGGGCAUGGUUUCGAACAAGAGCCGAUAGAUGACUGUGGCCAUUAUGUUGACGCCCGAUCCGGUGUCGCAAAAUGUCUUGUAGAAGUUGUAUCCAUUGAUGGAGUAAU
rnacentral:lncRNA from 1 species